rnacentral:rRNA from 1 species
UACGGAGGGUGCGAGCGUUGUCCGGAAUCACUGGGCGUAAAGGGCGCGUAGGUGGCGCGAUGAGUCAACGGUGAAAGCUCGACGCUCAACGUCGAGUCGGCCGUCGAUACUGUCGCGCUCGAGCACUGUAGAGGCCAAUGGAAUUCCGGGUGUAGCGGUGGAAUGCGUAGAGAUCCGGAAGAGCACCGGUGGCGAAGGCGGUUGGCUGGGCAGUUGCUGACACUGAGGCGCGACAGCGUGGGGAGCAAACAGG